rnacentral:rRNA from 1 species
GAUGAACGCUGGCGGCGUGCUUAACACAUGCAAGUCGAACGAAGCACUUUAUUUGAUUUCCUUCGGGACUGAUUAUUUUGUGACUGAGUGGCGGACGGGUGAGUAACGCGUGGGUAACCUGCCUUGUACAGGGGGAUAACAGUUGGAAACGGCUGCUAAUACCGCAUAAGCGCACAGCAUCGCAUGAUGCAGUGUGAAAAACUCCGGUGGUAUAAGAUGGACCCGCGUUGGAUUAGCUAGUUGGUGAGGUAACGGCCCACCAAGGCGACGAUCCAUAGCCGACCUGAGAGGGUGACCGGCCACAUUGGGACUGAGGCACGGCCCAAACUCCUACGGGAGGCAGCAGUGGGGAAUAUUGCACAAUGGGCGAAAGCCUGAUGCAGCGACGCCGCGUGAGCGAAGAAGUAUUUAGGUAUGUAAAGCUCUAUCAGCAGGGAAGAUAAUGACGGUACCUGACGAAGAAGCACCGGCUAAAUACGUG